GCGGGUGUAGCUCAAUGGUAGAGCGCCACGUUCCCAACGUGGUGACGGGGGUUCGAUUCCCCUCACCCGCUCCA
rnacentral:tRNA from 2 species